rnacentral:misc_RNA from 1 species
CAGAGUUUACAAACUCCCAAACCCUUGUGAACGAACCUACCUAUGUUGCCUCGGCGGGCCGAGCCCCCGUAAAGGGACGGACCGCCGGCAGGAAUACCUAAACUCUGUUGCAUUAGUGAACUUCUGAGUGCUUAAAUUCAAUAAGUUA